rnacentral:rRNA from 1 species
AUUGAACGCUGGCGGCAUGCUUUACACAUGCAAGUCGGACGGCAGCGCGGGCUUCGGCCUGGCGUCGUGUUGCCAACGGGCGAGUGAUUCACACGUACGUGCCCAGCCUAUGGGGAUAGGAUGGCGUAGGCCGAAUUAAUAUCGCAUCCGACCAGAGGGUGAAAGCGGGGGACUUAAAGUCCACGACGUUUUUGCUCUGACGUAUGCAGAGUAGCGCGCUGGAUUAGCUAGUUGGUAGGGAAACGGCGUACCAAGGCUACUAUGCAUAGACGACCUGCCAGGGGGAUCCGCCACACUGGAACUGAGACACGGGCCAGACUCCUACGGGAGGCAGCAGUGGGGAAUUUUCGGCAAUGGGCGAAAGCCUGACGCAGCAACGCCGCGUGAGUGAUGAAGGUCUUCGGGUCUUAAAACUCUUUUAUGCGGGAAGAAAAUAUGUGUAAGUAACUGCGCACAUCUUGACGGUACCUAAUCAGAAAGCCACGGCUAACUACGUG